GCCCAUGUGGCUCAGUGGUAGAGCACGCCCUUGGUAAGGGCGAGAUCGGGGGUUCGAUUCUCCCCAUGGGCUCCA
rnacentral:tRNA from 1 species